AGUAAAAAGACAGUGAAAAUAACAGUAGCAAGACUAUAUACAGACACCGGUUAGUCAGGCUGAUUGAGGUAAUAUGUACAUGUAGGUAUGGUUAAAAAGUGACUAUGACUUUGAUUAAGUAUUUGAGGUCAGUGUUUGUCUUGUGUUGUAGUAGCAGGGUAAGGGCACAGGGUUACCUCUAUCUCCCAUCUCUGUCUCUCUCCCCCGCACAGACCAACCUACAAUCCCCAGUCUACCAUCACAGCGCAGGGUGGAAGCAUUGUAAUUGCCCCAGAGAUCAAUUCCAAAGUAGGAGGUGACAUCAACAUGUCGUCUCAGAACAAAGGACCGCUCUUCCCCACAGGACCGCUCUUCCCCACAGGACCGCUCUUCCCCACAGGACCGCUCUUCCCCACAGGACCGCUCUUCCCCACAGGACCGCUCUUCCCCACAGGACCGCUCGUCCGAGAGCGACGUUGAUCGCCGCGUGACCCCAGACCUCCAGCAUCCAUCUAUUCAGGGAGACAACACGGGGGGACAAGGCAGGGACAUCAGAAAUCAAGUCGGAGGACAAAAAUGCAACAUCUAUCCAAAUGCAAAAAUGACUGGACAAGUACUGGACAGUUUCUAAAUGUCCUUAAGUGGCCCAGCCAGAGCCCGACUUGAACCGAUCGAACAUCUCUGGAGAGACCCGAGUUAUCGGCAUAUUCAACACCGUUCAUGAAAUAUAUUACCUUCAACAGUGUUAUCCUGUGAUCAAGCCAUCAAUGUUUUGUGAUUAUUGGUGUUGUAAAAAUGUUAGCUAACAGGUUAGCAAUUAGCAUGUUUGACAUUUCAUUGGAAAUACUAUGAGCGUUUUAGCUAAAAAAUACGUCCCGUAUUAUCGGCAUUAUUACUAUGGGCUCCCAAGUGGCGCAGCGGUCUAAGGCACUGCAUCUCAGUGCUAGAGGUGUCACUACAGACCCUGGUUCAAUUCCAGGCUGUAUCACAAUCCGGCCGUGAUUGGGUGGCGCACAAUUGGCCCAGCGUCUUCUGGGUUUGGCUGGGGUAGGCCGUCAUUGUAAAUAUGAAUUUAUUCUUAACUGACUUGACUACUUAAAUAAAAGGUACAAAAUAAAUAAAGAUGGUACACAAUAAAGAUGGCCACCUUACAAUUUAGUAAAAAAAGACACCAACCAUUCAACUUUUCAUUGGGUUAAUCCUGUGGACUCUCAAAAACGGUUCUUCACCAACAUCUUUUCAGUGUUGUAACCAAAUAAUGUCUCAACUCGUUUUACAGAUUCAUAUUUUUUGAGAAAGUAGAUAGCAGUUUAAUACUAAAAUAUAAAUAAAACUUUAAUUUCAGUGAUUGACAUGAAAAAUGAAAACACUGUUGGAGUUUGUUGCAGAGAUGCACAAUGAAAGUAAAGGAAAAAUACACAAGAUGGGUUGAAUAAUUAAAAAACAUUUUUUUAGACAUGUAUUGGAUUUUUUACAAAUAAAUAAUUUAAUAUGAAAACAAACAA